rnacentral:misc_RNA from 1 species
GAUGAAGAACGCAGCGAAAUGCGAUAAGUAGUGUGAAUUGCAGAAUUCAGUGAAUCAUCGAAUCUUUGAACGCACAUUGCGCCCCUUGGUAUUCCAUGGGGCAUGCCUGUUCGAGCGUCAUUUGUACCUUCAAGCUUUGCUUGGUGUUGGGUGUUUGUCCAUUCUCUUGCAGAGGGACUCGCCUUAAAGUAAUUGGCAGCCAGUGUUUUGGUUUUGAAGCGCAGCACAAGUCGCGAUUCAACGCUAUACGCCAGCUUCCACGAGCCUUUUUCACUUUUGACCUCGGAUCAGGUAGGGAUACCCGCUGAACUUAAGCAUAUCAAUAAGCGGAGGA